CGUCAGCUGCUGUGUUUGUGAUGCGCCAAGGAGUUUUGAGCCAACAGUAAAAGAAUCGGGGAUGUCGUUUCUUGCGGGGCUGUAGUAGCUCGCAGGAGUGAGGCAAAACCGCGAGGCUAGUUCCCCACCUGCGAUAGCAGGUUCAAAACCACAGCGCGCACGGCAUGGCGGCGGCGCA
rfam:Anaerolineae bacterium SM23_84 WORSMTZ_71859, whole genome shotgun sequence.